UAGGGAAUCUUCGGCAAUGGGGGGAACCCUGACCGAGCAACGCCGCGUGAGUGAAGAAGGUUUUCGGCUCGUAAAGCCCUGUUGUUAAGGAAGAACGAGUGUGAGAAUGGAAAGUUCAUACUGUGACGGUACUUAACCAGAAAGGGACGGCUAACUACGUGCCAGCAGCCGCGGUAAUACGUAGGUCCCGAGCGUUGUCCGGAUUUAUUGGGCGUAAAGCGAGCGCAGGCGGUUAGAUAAGUCUGAAGUUAAAGGCAGUGGCUCAACCAUUGUAGGCUUUGGAAACUGUUUAACUUGAGUGCAGAAGGGGAGGGUGGAAUUCCAUGUGUAGCGGUAAAAUGCGUAAAUAUAUGGAGGAACACCGGUGGCGAAAGCGGCUCUCUGGUCUGUAACUGACGCUGAGGCUCGAAAGCGUGGGGAGCGAACAGG
rnacentral:rRNA from 1 species